CUAUUCUUUUCUUAUCUUCUGCAGCUGGCAAAAUUUUACUCAAUGGCUUUUAAAGGACAAUUUUGAUCAUUUUAGUGCUUUAAUCCUAUUCUGAGCAGCUAAUUUUUAGAUUCUCAAGGAAAACAGCAUGUUUAUAUACAAGGAUAAUUAGGAAGAGGGGCCUUUGUUUCGGCGAAUUUGCAGUUGGUUGGAUUCAAACACCAGCCAGGAUGCAGAGGCGCAGAUGGAGUGAGCCCCCUAAGGUGUUCUUAGUUCACCUCCCAGCCCUCUGCCCUCAGCAAUGUCGCUCCUCUGCCUUGGGACUCUGGACAGACUUCAACUCAGGGUUGGAUUAGCAAGUCCUUGGACACAGUCUGGGAACGUGGAUGAGGCCCAUACUCCUUCCCCUGGGCAGGGGAUCUGGGCUGCCCCACCAGACAGGAGAGAUGGGGCUCGCUGCAAAUAAGCUUUUCAUGCUUGAAAUAUUCUACUUUGCUUUCCCGUUUCCCCUUCUAUCUGCUGCCUUUGCCCUUCCGUCUGGAGGCAGUGAAAGUGGCCGGAGCACCCCCAGCCUCUCCGUGCUCUCUGACAGCAAGCCGCCCCCCUCCACCUACCAGCAGGCACCUCGCCACUUCCACGUCCCAGACACUGGCGUAAAAGAUAACAUCUAUAGGAAACCCCCUAUCUACAGACAGCAUGCUGCCAGGCGAUCGGAUGCGGAGGAUGGAAGCUUGGACCAGGAUAACAGGAAGCAGAAGAGCAGCUGGCUGAUGCUCAAGGGGGAUGCAGACACAAGGACCAAUUCUCCAGACCUGGACACCCAGUCCUUGUCCCACAGCAGUGGGACCGACAGAGACCCUCUCCAAAGGAUGGCAGGGGACAGCUUUCACUCACAAUACAAGAUCUAUCCGUAUGACUCCCUCAUCGUCACAAACCGAAUUCGCGUGAAACUGCCCAAAGACGUGGACCGGACGAGACUGGAGAGACACUUGUCGCCCGAGGAGUUCCAGGAAGUGUUUGGGAUGAGCAUGGAGGAGUUUGACCGCCUGGCCCUCUGGAAGAGGAAUGACCUUAAGAAGAAAGCCCUGUUGUUCUGACGGCUGCCAGCCUGCCCCACUGGUGUGUGCCGGGCGCCGAGGCGAGGGGCCCCUGGCGAGAACCGCACACACCCCUCCCACACACCUUGCUCUGGCUUCUCUGUGUCGAUGGGGUGGGCGGGAGGGAGUCCCCCAGCAGGUGCGGCCCCUGCACCUGCCGGCGACACUCCUGCCGGUAGUUUAGGGCCGAGACGGCUAGCUUCACACCACCCUUCCCCACUGUGGCUUGGUGUCAGGGAGAGGCUGCAGAGUGGCCGUGUCGGGCAUCAGAUGGAGCACACAGGUGGCUGCAGCCCAGCCCACCUUCCCAGCGUUCUCGAGGUGCCCUGGCCCCGGUGCUAGGCACAUGGGGGACAGAGGUGGCCGGGACGUGAGCUGUGAGGCUUGUUGAUGACGGGUGCUGACACCAUCAUCGGGGGUGGGCACACGGCCCUUCGGAGCCUGGGCAGCCUGGCCUCACAGGCAGACUCGCAGACGGGGCAGUGAGCGUCUGGGACAGUGCCAAGAGUGGGGUGUGUGAUUUUUGCAGGCGUCUGUGUUGGGUCUCUUUAGGCACAAAUGUCAACAAGGGACAAGACAGGGCACCUUCCGCCAGCGCCCCUCCAUGCGCUGCGUUCCUCUUCCAGAUCGCCCCCUAGAUGCCUACACAAUAUCUUUAAAGUAACACAGAAGUUUUUAUUUUAUUAAAAAGUAUAGCCUACUUAAACGCGAGAUGACAUAUAUAGAGUUUAAUUUUACGGUCCCUCCGCAGGGGAGCGGCCUCCAGCCUUAUUCUCCACCGCUCGGAUCUGUGUGGUUUCAGUCUGUUCUUGGUGUGGUCCUCAUACACAGAGCUCCCUGUCUAGUUUCUUUUCUUUUUCUUUUUUCUUUUUCUCGUCACACAGGUAACCUUAAAGACAGACCCCUCUAAACAACGCUUUGUAAAUACAUGUGAGGUAUAGCCACCACUGUUUUCCUUGCUGUUAUUUUUCCAAGUCUUGGGGAGAAAACAUCCUCCUCUGAUGGCCAAAGCCCUGGAAUCAAGGGUUUCCACGUACCCCGCCUAAUACCCGACGUAGCUCUUGAUGCACCGUCCUUGUGCUGUGGCUGGCGGUGUCUCAGCCUGAAACAUAAACCCCACACGCCCCAGGAGCGAUGUGCUCCCUGAAACAGACAACCACACGCUGCUGGGGAGAGAAGGAUGGAGAUAGGGUGGAGAUAGGAUGGAGAUGUGGCUCUUCUCAUCUUUGAAGCCAGCAGGGCAUCCCAGAGCAGGAGGCUGGCCAGGCUCCCCAAGCGAAGGCGUUGGUGUCUGUCAUUAGGUGUGUGUUAGGGUGCAGCGCCGGCCGUCACAGGAUGCUGAUAAGCGCGCUGAGAGGUGGAUGAAACACCGAAGUCUGUUUCCCCAUCCGCAGUGGGUGUUGCCUCUUUGUGUGUGUCCCGAUGUUCCUGCCUGUGAGUCGGCCUUACUCCGUUUCCUUAGCGCCCAUGACACACCAAGUCCCGUUUCGCACUCGGCUUCUCACCCGCCCGGCUCGGCUAGGGAGGGGGACUUUUUAGCACCUAAUAUGCUUCCUGCCAUUGCGCAAUCUGAGCCUGAGCAACUGGAAACCCCCAUUUCUCAUUAGUGCAAUGUCAUAUCUGAUCCCAGGAAGCCUGGAAAAUAAAAGACGAUGCAUUAUAACUUGCGGAAGUACAAGA
rnacentral:sRNA from 1 species